GAACCUGCGGAGGGAUCAUUACCGAGUUAUACAACUCAUCAACCCUGUGAACAUACCUAAAACGUUGCUUCGGCGGGAACAGACGGCCCUGUAACAACGGGCCGCCCCCGCCAGAGGACCCCUAACUCUGUUUUUAUAAUGUUUUUCUGAGUAAACAAGCAAAUAAAUUAAAACUUUCAACAACGGAUCUCUUGGCUCUGGCAUCGAUGAAGAACGCAGCGAAAUGCGAUAAGUAAUGUGAAUUGCAGAAUUCAGUGAAUCAUCGAAUCUUUGAACGCACAUUGCGCCCGCCAGUAUUCUGGCGGGCAUGCCUGUUCGAGCGUCAUUACAACCCUCAGGCCCCCGGGCCUGGCGUUGGGGAUCGGCGGAAGCCCCCUGUGGGCACACGCCGUCCCUCAAAUACAGUGGCGGUCCCGCCGCAGCUUCCAUUGCGUAGUAGCUAACACCUCGCAACUGGAGAGCGGCGCGGCCAUGCCGUAAAACACCCAACUUCUGAAUGUUGACCUCGAAUCAGGUAGGAAUACCCGCUGAACUUAAGCAUAUCAAUAAG
rnacentral:rRNA from 1 species